GCUCAUCAGUCUGAAAUCCUCACUGCAUAUCAGACAUUAAUACAAUCAAGCGAAUUUUGGGCUUGGACAAUCUUGAACUAUGCCACCUACGGUUAUACUUAAGCGUAGCACACAAAAUUAUCUGCUACAAUAUCCUACCAGUGAAUGACUACUUCAUCUUCAACCACAACAAUA